rnacentral:rRNA from 1 species
CCUACGGGGUGCUGCAGUGAGGAAUAUUGGUCAAUGGACGAGAGUCUGAACCAGCCAAGUAGCGUGAAGGAUGACUGCCCUAUGGGUUGUAAACUUCUUUUAUAUGGGAGUAAAAUGUUCCACGUGUGGGAUUUUGUAUGUACCAUAUGAAUAAGGAUCGGCUAACUCCGUGCCAGCAGCCGCGGUAAUACGGAGGAUCCGAGCGUUAUCCGGAUUUAUUGGGUUUAAAGGGAGCGUAGGUGGAUUGUUAAGUCAGUUGUGAAAGUUUGCGGCUCAACCGUAAAAUUGCAGUUGAAACUGGCAGUCUUGAGUACAGUAGAGGUGGGCGGAAUUCGUGGUGUAGCGGUGAAAUGCUUAGAUAUCACGAAGAACUCCGAUUGCGAAGGCAGUUCACUGGACUGCAACUGACACUGAGGCUCGAAAGUGUGGGUAUCAAACAGGAUUAGAUACCCUUGUAGUC